rnacentral:rRNA from 1 species
UACGUAGGGUGCAAGCGUUAAUCGGAAUUACUGGGCGUAAAGCGUGCGCAGGCGGUGAUGUAAGACAGAUGUGAAAUCCCCGGGCUCAACCUGGGAACUGCAUUUGUGACUGCAUAGCUAGAGUACGGUAGAGGGGGAUGGAAUUCCGCGUGUAGCAGUGAAAUGCGUAGAUAUGCGGAGGAACACCGAUGGCGAAGGCAAUCCCCUGGACCUGUACUGACGCUCAUGCACGAAAGCUGGGGGAGCAAACAGG